GUGGGGAAUCUUCCGCAAUGGACGAAAGUCUGACGGAGCAACGCCGCGUGAGUGAAGAAGGUUUUCGGAUCGUAAAGCUCUUUCGUUAGGGACGAACGUGCUCUUUGUGAAUAAUGAGGAGUAAAGACGGUACCUAAAUAAGAAGCCACGGCUAACUACGUGCCAGCAGCCGCGGUAAUACGUAGGUGGCAAGCGUUGUCCGGAAUUAUUGGGCGUAAAGCGCGCGCAGGCGGGAUAUCAAGUCUGUCUUAAAAGUGCGAGGCUCAACCUCGUGAGGGGAAAGAAACUGGUAUUCUUGAGUGUCGGAGAGGAAAGUGGAAUUCCAAGUGUAGCGGUGAAAUGCGUAGAGAUUUGGAAGAACACCAGUGGCGAAGGCGACUUUCUGGACGAUGUCUGACGCUGAGGCGCGAAAGCUAGGGGAGCGAACGGGAUUAGAUACCCUUGUAGUCC
rnacentral:rRNA from 1 species